UACGGAGGAUGCGAGCGUUAUCCGGAUUUAUUGGGUAUAAAGGGUGCGUAGGCGGGAUGCCAAGUCAGCGGUAAAAUGCGGUGCUCAACGCCGUCGAGCCGUUGAAACUGGCGUUCUUGAGUGGGCGAGAAGUAUGCGGAAUGCGUGGUGUAGCGGUGAAAUGCAUAGAUAUCACGCAGAACUCCGAUUGCGAAGGCAGCAUACCGGCGCCCUACUGACGCUGAGGCACGAAAGCGUGGGUAUCGAACAGG
rnacentral:rRNA from 1 species